CUCGCUGCCGCUACCCAGCAUCACAAGACGCAUAUGACUAGCCCAGGAAAAGAGCAAAAUUCAGAACUCGAAACGUGGUUUCUACUGAAUGCUUGCUUUAGCACCAUCAUCAAGUCAAAAAAUCUUUAAGUGGAACAAUCCUAAGUUGGAGACUCUGUAUAUAAAAAUGCUUUAAAAAUUCCAAAGUAUUUCAUACAGAAUAGCUAAAACUAGAAAUCUGCCACCAAUGUUUCCUAUUUUCAGAUACAGAAAAUAAGCCGUAAACAUAUUUUGCCCAAAACUUUGAGAUGGUGAUGAUGAUGUUAACUAACCAGCAAUGUCAGCGCAGCAUGCUAGAAGAGCACAGCUACAAAGUUUGCAGGUAUUCUUUCUUGCCACCUAUAAUGACUUAGAUGGACCCGGAGUUUUGCCUGACCUGGGAAUGCACGUGGCCUUGGCACAGUGGGCAGAAGGGCCCUGUUGACCCUGUCCUGUCCAGUCAGGCCUAUUCGGAGCAACAGGAGCAUCUACUGGAUCCAACAGUGGCCCUCAUCCCACUUGCUCUCCAAAGAUGCCACCAAAUUCCCCAUGUACUUUCUGGCUCCACUGACAACUUUUUCUUCUCAGCUUUGAAAAACUAACUCCCUGCUGUAUACAAUUCUACUGCCAUUCAAACUGCUGUUAUAUUUUCUCACUUCAUUUCAAAUAUUUUUCAUACCAUCUAUUGGAGGAAAGGAAGCAAAAGAUGCUUCACGGGAAACAGAGGUGAGAAUAACCCUCCUUGCAGGAAGGGUACUCCUCACUGGCUGCCCUUUGGAGGACCCCGCCUCCGCCACACUGCUCUGCCUUCUCUGCCCCUCAAGAUCCUCUUCCUGUCUUUAACUCCUCACAUAGGAGUUUCGGCCAGCCCUAGUGGUCUAGGGGUUAAGAUUCAGCGCCCUCACCAUCACAGCCAGGGAUCUUUUCCUGGUCAGGGAACCACACCACCCGUCGGUCAGUUGUCACACUGUGGCGGCUGUGUAUUACUGUGAAUGCUGAAAGCUAUGCCACCAGUAUUUCAAAUACCAGCAGGGUCACCCAUGGUGGACAGGUUUCAGCGGAGCUUCCAGAUUAAGACAGACUAGGAAGGACCUGGCCACCUACUUCCGAAAAAGUUGGCCACUAAAACCCUAUGAAGGGGCCAGCCUCGUGGCGGAGUGGUUAAGUUUGGCACGCCCCACCUCGGCAGCCUGGGGUUCGUGGGUUUGGAUUCUGGGCAUGGACCUACACCACUCAUCAAGCUAUGCUGUGGCAGCGACCUACAUACAAAAUGGAGGAAGACUGGCAUAGAUGUUAGCUCAGGGCCAAUCUUCCUCACCAAAAAAAAAACCCCCCAAAAGCAAAAAAUAUCCCCUAUGAAUAGUAGUGGAGCAUUGUCUGAGAUAGUGCCAGAAGGUGAGAGCAUGAUGCAAAAGACUGGGCAGGGUUCCACUCUGCUGUCCACAGGGUCACUAGGAGUCAGAAUCCACUUGACUCACUAACAACAAAUAGGAGUUUCACAUAGAGGAGUUUCCAGUUCCCUUAUCACUGGGUAUCCUCUCGUGAAAAUUAAUAUACCCACUGUCGUUCAGACACACCCAGGACUUCUGCAUCAGCUUUCACACAUGCCAUUCUACAGUCUGGACGCCCCCUCACGGCCCUGCCAAGCUGCAGUCAAAUUCUCUCCACCCUCCCCCAGCACGCCCACCUCUUCUCUACUAUUAUCUGGAGGUGGGGUUUGUUUUGUUCUGAAUGCUCUAUAUUCUUUCUCCAUCUAGUGGGAAUAUGCCAUGUGAUGGAAAUGUAUCCCCUGCACCCCGUACCAUCAUGCCCUAGGCAAGCUCACUCAAAGGCUGGCUGGCUGAAGGCUGCAGUUGUGUAAAUACAGGCUCCCCCUGCGGUGUGUCAGAGCCCUGUGGAAGCAGGAGGGGUGCGUUCCACUGCUCAGCAGAAACGUCCGGGUGCAUUUAGGGCCUCAAGUGCCAUUCCACUCAAGUGACCAAUGGGGCGAGAGAAGAAAUGUGUCUAAUGAAUAACAGCUCAGCUUUAUUUGGGGAAGAAAAGGUGGAAUUAGGUCAUUUCCAAGAAUCACAAGCAUUCACUUACGCUCACUGGUGGAAUUCAGAGUCGCAUCUUGGUAGGCCUUGUAAAUGUUGAUGAGGGUAAAGUGAUCUCCUUCAGGAUGUAAAAAUGUCUUCCAGCAAGUCAAGGCAGCCUCCUCAGCUCCAUGUGGCAGAUGCGAAAAGCAGCUGGGAGCUUUAAGAUGCAAGAGGUCACAAGGUCAGCAAUAAUGGAGACAUUUCAUCUUGGCACAACAUGCAGAGGGAGGGGCUCGCUACUGCUUGUGGAACUGCUCCUGCCUUAUUCCGUGAAUAAAUCUCAUUCUUGUUUACUCAGA